rnacentral:rRNA from 1 species
CCUACGGGUGGCAGCAGUGGGGAAUAUUGCACAAUGGGGGAAACCCUGAUGCAGCAACGCCGCGUGGGCGAGGAAGCAUUUCGGUACGUAAAGCCCUAUCAGCAGGGACGAAAAUAACCGUAACUUACCAAAAAGCCCCGGCUAACUCCGUGCCAGCCGCCGCGGUAAUACGGAGGGGGCAAGCGUUAUUCGGAUUUACUGGGUGUAAAGGGAGCGCAGGCGGGAUGGCAAGUCAGAUGUGAAAACCCAGGGCUCAACCCUGGAACUGCAUUUGAAACUGUCAUUCUGGAGUGCAGGAGAGGUAAGUGGAAUUCCUAGUGUAGCGGUGAAAUGCGUAGAUAUUAGGAGGAACACUAGUGGCGAAGGCGGCUUACUGGACGGUAACUGACGCUGAGGCGCGAAAGCGUGGGGAGCAAACAGGAUUAGAUACCCUUGUAGUC